rnacentral:misc_RNA from 1 species
CGACCGAAUUUCUCUCGUUAGGCUCUCAGGCAUGGCAGCUGCUUCAGCUAUACGCCAUGCGGUAAACCAUAGCAUAAGAACUCAGUUUAGAAAUCCUCACAAGCUAUUUUUCUCUCCGCCGACUCUGUUAAUGUCAGCUAUGGCUUCAGACAGAAGGUUUUCCUACAACGGAUUAAAAAAUUUUAAUGGAUAUGGUACCAAAACACCAUUUCUAAUUGGCGUAGCUGGUGGAACAGCAUCUGGCAAGUCAACAGUUUGUUCAAGAAUCAUGGAAAAACUUGGACAAGAUGAAAUUGACCACAGGCAACGACAAGUUGUCUGUAUCAGUCAGGACAGUUUCUAUCGAGAAUUAAAUCCUGCAGAAAGCAUCAAAGCUUCUAAAGGUCUAUUCAAUUUCGAUCAUCCAGAUGCAUUUGAUAAUCAACUUAUUUUAAAGACACUCAAGGAUAUCUUGGAUGGAAGAGUUUGCAAAAUUCCUGUUUAUGACUUCAAGACCAACUCAAGAAAAUUGGAUGAAUUUGUCACCAUUUAUCCUGCUGAUGUCCUGCUAUUUGAAGGAAUCUUGGUCUUUUAUUUCCCUGAAAUAAGAGAAGUCUUUCAUAUGAAGCUUUUUGUUGACACUGAUGCUGAUACUCGCUUAUCAAGAAGAGUUCUUCGCGAUAUUCGAGAGCGUGGAAGGGAUCUGGAGCAAGUAUUGGCUCAGUACACUAUGCUAGUUAAACCAGCUUUUGAAGAAUUCUGUUUACCGACCAAAAAGUUUGCUGAUGUCAUUAUACCUCGCGGAGCGGAUAACACAGUGGCCAUUGGAUUAAUUGUCCAACACAUUCGUGAACUGUUGAACUAUCGCAACGGCAACGGACUUCAGCAGCAAAGGAAUCGCCAGAUCGCCCAACAGCAGCAACAGACUACCCAACAGCAACAACAGCAGUCGCAAACAGAAGAGAAUGAAAAGUGACUGAUUCGUUUAAAGAAGGUCGUUUUGCUUCGUCUCGGGACCAACACAUCGCCAUCCAUUUGUAAAGCUGUACCUGCUUGCCGUCUGCAUAAAAAAAGUGAUCGGCGUUCAAAAUCACUUGCGUAUCAUUCAUGGAACCGUACGGCUUCUCUUUCGCCACUGUGGAAAUUUCCCACACCGUUACAGCUAACAUCUUUAAGCGGAUGGGAAGAGAUUUUCGUCCACGAACUUCGCCGUAAUCGUCCUUGAAUGCGGCGCAAAUGAUAGCCAAAUCACAUAUUUUAAUUUGCAAGUCGGGACCCACUAAGCAAUUCCUGGAUGGGCAAACAAAAAAUAAUGUAAACCUUCUUAUGUAAUAUGCAUUCCAAAUGUACUAUUGUUAAAGAGACAUUAUCAAUUUGAGUUCAUUUAUGUAUUCAUAAAAUGAAAUUUACCUUGUGGCAAGAUCCUUGUGCACCAUUCCUUUCUCUUCAAGGUAUUUCACAGCCCGUGCUAUUUGACAAGAUAGUUUGAAUACGCUCUUGUUGCUGUAAAUAAUCCAAACUACUUUUUAAAAAAUAGUUUCUUGGCAAGAAAUAAAACAUUCUUUAGUAAA